rnacentral:rRNA from 1 species
CCUACGUGAUGCAGCAGUGGGGAAUAUUGCACAAUGGGGGAAACCCUGAUGCAGCGACGCCGCGUGAGUGAAGAAGUAAUUCGUUAUGUAAAGCUCUAUCAGCAGGGAAGAAAAUGACGGUACCUGAGUAAGAAGCCCCGGCUAACUACGUGCCAGCAGCCGCGGUAAUACGUAGGGGGCAAGCGUUAUCCGGAUUUACUGGGUGUAAAGGGAGCGUAGACGGCAGUGCAAGUCUGGAGUGAAAGGCGGGGGCUCAACCCCCGGACUGCUCUGGAAACUGUACGGCUUGAGUGCAGGAGCGGUAAGUGGAAUUCCUGGUGUAGCGGUGAAAUGCGUAGAUAUUAGGAGGAACACCAGUGGCGAAGGCGGCUUACUGGACUGUAACUGACGUUGAGGCUCGAAAGCGUGGGGAGCAAACAGGAUUAGAUACCCGUGUAGUC